CCUACGGGGUGCUGCAGUCGAGAAUCAUUCACAAUGGGGGAAACCCUGAUGGUGCGACGCCGCGUGGGGGAAUGAAGGUCUUCGGAUUGUAAACCCCUGUCAUGUGGGAGCAAAUUAAAAAGAUAGUACCACAAGAGGAAGAGACGGCUAACUCUGUGCCAGCAGCCGCGGUAAUACAGAGGUCUCAAGCGUUGUUCGGAAUCACUGGGCGUAAAGCGUGCGUAGGCUGUUUCGUAAGUCGUGUGUGAAAGGCGCGGGCUCAACCCGCGGACGGCACAUGAUACUGCGAGACUAGAGUAAGGGAGGGGGAACCGGAAUUCUCGGUGUAGCAGUGAAAUGCGUAGAUAUCGAGAGGAACACUCGUGGCGAAGGCGGGUUCCUGGACAUUAACUGACGCUGAGGCACGAAGGCCAGGGGAGCGAAAGGGAUUAGAUACCCGAGUAGUC
rnacentral:rRNA from 1 species